rnacentral:rRNA from 1 species
CGGACGGGUGAGUAACGCGUGGGUAACCUGCCUUGUACAGGGGGAUAACAGUUGGAAACGGCUGCUAAUACCGCAUAAGCGCACAGCAUCGCAUGAUGCAGUGUGAAAAACUCCGGUGGUAUAAGAUGGACCCGCGUUGGAUUAGCUAGUUGGUGAGGUAACGGCCCACCAAGGCGACGAUCAGUAGCCGACCUGAGAGGGUGACCGGCCACAUUGGGACUGAGACACGGCCCAGACUCCUACGGGAGGCAGCAGUGGGGAAUAUUGCACAAUGGAGGAAACUCUGAUGCAGCGACGCCGCGUGAGUGAAGAAGUAUUUCGGUAUGUAAAGCUCUAUCAGCAGGGAAGACAGUGACGGUACCUGACUAAGAAGCUCCGGCUAAAUACGUGCCAGCAGCCGCGGUAAUACGUAUGGAGCAAGCGUUAUCCGGAUUUACUGGGUGUAAAGGGAGUGUAGGUGGUAUCACAAGUCAGAAGUGAAAGCCCGGGGCUCAACCCCGGGACUGCUUUUGAAACUGUGGAACUGGAGUGCAGGAGAGGUAAGUGGAAUUCCUAGUGUAGCGGUGAAAUGCGUAGAUAUUAGGAGGAACACCAGUGGCGAAGGCGGCUUACUGGACUGUAACUGACACUGAGGCUCGAAAGCGUGGGGAGCAAACA